UACGGGGGGGGUAAGCGUUGUUCGGAUUUACUGGGCGUAAAGGGCGCGUAGGCGGCCACCGCAAGUCAGUUGUGAAAUCUCCGAGCUUAACUCGGAAAGGUCAACUGAUACUGCGGGGCUAGAGUGCGGAAGGGGCAACUGGAAUUCUUGGUGUAGCGGUGAAAUGCGUAGAUAUCAAGAGGAACACCUGCGGCGAAGGCGGGUUGCUGGGCCGACACUGACGCUGAGGCGCGAAAGCUAGGGGAGCGAACGGG
rnacentral:rRNA from 1 species